GACGAACGCUGGCGGCGUGCUUAACACAUGCAAGUCGAACGGAAAGGCUCCAGCUUGCUGGAGUACUCGAGUGGCGAACGGGUGAGUAACACGUUGGUUAUCUGCCCUGCACUUCGGGAUAAGCCUGGGAAACUGGGUCUAAUACCGGAUAGGACCGCACUUUGGUGUGUUUGGUGGAUAGGUUUUUCUGGUGUGGGAUGAGCUCGCUGCCUAUCAGUUUGUUGGUGGGGUAAUGGCCUACCAAGACGGCGACGGGUAGCCGGCCUGAGGGGGUGGACGGUCACAGUGGGACUGAGAGACGGCCCAGACUGCUACGGGAGGCAGCAGUGGGGAAGAUUGCACAAUGGGGGAAACCCUGAUGCAGCGACGCCGCGUGGGGGAUGAAGGGCUUCGGGUUGUAAACUCAUUGCGCUAGGGACGAAGCUUUUUGUGACGGUACCUGGAGAAGAAGCACCGGCUAACUACGUG
rnacentral:rRNA from 1 species